rnacentral:rRNA from 1 species
UUAUCCGGGGAAUCUUGCCAUGCAGGUUUAAAAACAAGACUUUAAAUGUCGAAUUUGCGAAUGGCUAAAUAGUGCAGUUGCAAUCUAGGUGGUUAUGAAAUUCCUUUAGGAUACAAAUAGGAAAUCUAUUGAUAAACCAUAGCAAAAUGGGGUUAAACCCAGAGUUUGCGAGGACGAGAAUCUUAAGUGGCAACACUUUGUGAUGACUCAUCGCAAAAUCAUUGAAUCACRCUUUAGUGYAGUGAUGACGCACAUGAACUUCUGCUCGAUUAGCUAUCGUUGUUUGGAUAGAGGCCAAACAAGGCGGUGAUCGGUACGAGGAAUGGAUGUUCGAUUUCGUAGAAUACGCCUGAGAGACGGCGAAUACUCUCACGAGAGGCAGCAGGCUCGUAAAUUACCCAAUUACAACAAGUAGAGGUAGCGAAGGAAAAUACGGGAGGUGGUAGGUAUUGCCUAUUACACUUCUGAAUGGAGGCGAAUUAAAUAGUCCACUGAAAGCAAGAAGAGGAAAAGUAUCGGUGCCAGCACCCGCGGUAAUUCCAGCUCUUCUAGCGUAUAUCGAAGUUGAUGCAGUUAAAACGCUCGUAGUCGGAGUUGUUUGGAUAGAGGAUAAAAUGAGGGGGAGAUCGAAAGGUUUCUYUCUGACUCUUCCAAUUCAUUGGAUUGUGCAUGUGCRUGGGUUCGCCUGCRAUUACUGCCCUUCCACAUUUACUUUGAGGAAAUUGGAGUGUUCAUAGCAGUCGUCUUGACUGAACAGUUUAGCAUGGGAUAAUAGAAUAUGGCAAGGUGCUAUUUCUAUGGUUCUCAAUAGCAAUUUAUUUUGCAAUGAUCAAUGGGAGUGGAUGGGGCCGCCGCUAUUGUGGAGCUAGAGGUGAAAUUCUAUGAUUUCCGCAGGAGCAACAAAUGCGAAAGCAUCCGGCCAGUACAUGUCCGUCGAUCAAGAACGAAGGGAGUGGUAUCGAAGAUGAUUAGAUACCGUCGUAGUCACUCCAGUAAACGCUGAUAGCUCGAGAUAAGGGGGAUGUAACUUAAAACUUGCACCUCUUUGCAUCGUAUGAGAAAUCAAAGCAUUCAUAUCUCCGGGGGGAGUAUGGCCGCAAGACUGAAACUUAAAGGAAUUGACGGAAGGGCACCACAAGGCGUGGAACCUGCGGCUUAAUUUGACUCAACACGGGAAAACUUACCAGGUCCGGACAUAGUAAGGAUUGACAGAUGGAGAGAUCUUUCUUGRUUCUGUGGCUGGUGGUGCAUGGCCGUUCUUAGUUGGUGGAUUGAUUUGUCUGUUUAAUUACGAUAACGAACGAGAUGRUCAUGAGAUAAUAGGRUAURAAAUGGAAACAUUUUGUAUUUCCUUCUUUCUCAGAUUGAUGGAACCAAGCCAUCUGAAAUGAUCGCAAUAACAGGUCUGUGAUGCCCUUAGAUGUUCUGGGCUGCACGCGCGUUACAAUGGAGAUGUCAACAAGUUUUUGAUUCGGUUCAUUCUGUGAUCAUUAUGCUUCCUUGAAAGGGGUGGCUAAUCUUUUUAAACAUCUCCUUGCUGGGGAUUGGUGGUUGUAAUUGUCCGCCAUGAACCAGGAAUGCCUAGUAAUCGCUUGUCAUCAGCAAGCGAUGAUUACGUCCCUGCCCUUUGUACACACCGCCCGUCGCUCCUACCGAUUGGAUUGUCCGGUGAGAAUGGAGGACACUGGAUUGAGRUGAGCAAUCAYUUCUUUUUGGUGAAAUCCAUUCAAAUCUUAUAAUCUAGAGGAAG